rnacentral:rRNA from 1 species
GAGGGUGCGAGCGUUAAUCGGAAUUACUGGGCGUAAAGCGCACGUAGUCGGCUUUGCAAGUCGGGUGUGAAAUCCCCGGGCUCAACCUGGGAACUGCAUCCGAGACUGCAUUGCUAGAGUAUGGGAGAGGGAAGCGGAAUUUCUGGUGUAGCAGUGGAAUGCGUAGAUAUCAGAAGGAACAUCAGUGGCGAAGGCGGCUUCCUGGACCAAUACUGACGAUCAGGUGCGAAAGCGUGGGGAGCAAACAGGAUUAGAUACCCUGGUAGUCCACGCCCUAAACGAUGAGAACUGGAUGUCGGGAGGGUUUGCCUUCCGGUGUCGUAGCUAACGCGUUAAGUUCUCCGCCUGGGAAGUACGGCCGCAAGGUUG